rnacentral:rRNA from 1 species
UACGAAGGGGACUAGCGUUGUUCGGAAUUACUGGGCGUAAAGCGCACGUAGGCGGAUUUGUAAGUCAGGGGUGAAAUCCCGGGGCUCAACCUCGGAACUGCCUUUGAUACUGCAAAUCUCGAGUCCGAUAGAGGUGGGUGGAAUUCCUAGUGUAGAGGUGAAAUUCGUAGAUAUUGGGAAGAACACCGGUGGCGAAGGCGGCUCACUGGCUCAUUUCUGACGCUCAGGCGCGACAGCGUGGGGAUCAAACAGG